CCUACGGGAGGCAGCAGUGGGGAAUAUUGCACAAUGGGCGAAAGCCUGAUGCAGCAACGCCGCGUGAAGGAAGACGGUUUUCGGAUUGUAAACUUCUGUUCUUAGUGAAGAAUAAUGACGGUAACUAAGGAGCAAGCCACGGCUAACUACGUGCCAGCAGCCGCGGUAAUACGUAGGUGGCAAGCGUUGUCCGGAAUUACUGGGUGUAAAGGGAGCGUAGACGGCAGCACAAGUCUGGAGUGAAAUCCCGGGGCUUAACCCCGGAACUGCUUUGGAAACUGUGCGGCUGGAGUGCAGGAGGGGUAAGCGGAAGUCCUAGUGUAGCGGUGAAAUGCGUAGAUAUUAGGAGGAACACCGGUGGCGAAGGCGGCUUACUGGACUGUAACUGACGUUGAGGCUCGAAAGCGUGGGGAGCAAACAGGAUUAGAUACCCGAGUAGUC
rnacentral:rRNA from 1 species